GGCGGGUCCGCCCGCCGAUUGGACAACAUUCAAACCCUUUGCAGUUGCAAUCAGCGUCUGAAAAAACAUAAUAGUUACAACUUUCAACAACGGAUCUCUUGGUUCUGGCAUCGAUGAAGAACGCAGCGAAAUGCGAUAAGUAGUGUGAAUUGCAGAAUUCAGUGAAUCAUCGAAUCUUUGAACGCACAUUGCGCCCCUUGGUAUUCCAUGGGGCAUGCCUGUUCGAGCGUCAUUUGUACCUUCAAGCUCUGCUUGGUGUUGGGUGGUUGUCUCGCCUCUGCGUGUAGACUCGCCUUAAAACAAUUGGCAGCCGGCGUAUUGAUUUCGGAGCGCAGUACAUCUCGCGCUUUGCACUCAUAACGACGACGUCCAAAAGUACAUUUUUUACACUCUUGACCUCGGAUCAGGUAGGGAUACCCGCUGAACUUAAGCAUAUCAAUAAGCGGAGGAAAAGAAACCAACAGGGAUUGCCCUAGUAACGGCGAGUGAAGCGGCAACAGCUCAAAUUUGAAAUCUGGCGUCUUUGGCGUCCGAGUUGUAAUUUGCAGAGGGCGCUUUGGCAUUGGCAGCGGUCCAAGUUCCUUGGAACAGGACGUCACAGAGGGUGAGAAUCCCGUACGUGGUCGCUAGCCUUUACCGUGUAAAGCCCCUUCGACGAGUCGAGUUGUUUGGGAAUGCAGCUCUAAAUGGGAGGUAAAUUUCUUCUAAAGCUAAAUACUGGCCAGAGACCGAUAGCGCACAAGUAGAGUGAUCGAAAGAUGAAAAGCACUUUGGAAAGAGAGUUAAAAAGCACGUGAAAUUGUUGAAAGGGAAGCGCUUGCAGCCAGACUUGCCUGUAGUUGCUCAUCCGGGUUUUUACCCGGUGCACUCUUCUACGGGCAGGCCAGCAUCAGUUUGGGCGGUUGGAUAAAGGUCUCUGUCAUGUACCUCCUCUCGGG
rnacentral:rRNA from 1 species